GGGUAAAGCGAAAGCUUUGACCCAUAACCUAUACGUGGUCACCUUUUAGGUUAUGGAGAGCUAGUGGUGAAACCGGUCGCAUUUUUU
rnacentral:ncRNA from 1 species